GCGGAUGGCUGGAUGGCUGCGGCAGUGAUGUCGAGGAAAGUCCGGACUCCAAAAAGCACGGUGCCGGGUAACGCCCGGCGGGGGUAACCCUAGGGAAAGCGCCACAGAGAACAGACUACCUUGGUCGCACCUAUGGUGCGCAUCCGUCAAAGCCAGGGAAAAGGUGAAACGGUGGGGUAAGAGCCCACCGCGCAAGCGGCAACGUAAGCGGCACGGCAAGCCCCACCGGGAGCAAUGCCAAAUAGGGACCUCGCGUCGCAAGACGGGGAUGCUUGAACCCCAGACGGUCCGGGUUGGCAGCUAGAGGGUGUCUGGUAACAGGCAUCCCAGAUGAAUGGUCAUCCAUCCGGGGCAACCCGGAGGACAGAAUCCGGCUUAUAGGCCAUCCGCGCGC
rnacentral:RNase_P_RNA from 1 species